AUUGAACGCUGGCGGCAGGCCUAACACAUGCAAGUCGAGCGGAUGAAGGGAGCUUGCUCCUGGAUUCAGCGGCGGACGGGUGAGUAAUGCCUAGGAAUCUGCCUGGUAGUGGGGGAUAACGUCCGGAAACGGGCGCUAAUACCGCAUACGUCCUGAGGGAGAAAGUGGGGGAUCUUCGGACCUCACGCUAUCAGAUGAGCCUAGGUCGGAUUAGCUAGUUGGUGGGGUAAAGGCCUACCAAGGCGACGAUCCGUAACUGGUCUGAGAGGAUGAUCAGUCACACUGAAACUGAGACACGGUCCAGACUCCUACGGGAGGCAGCAGUGGGGAAUAUUGGAAGAUGGGCGAAAGCCUGAUCCAGCCAUGCCGCGUGUGUGAAGAAGGUCUUCGGAUUGUAAAGCACUUUAAGUUGGGAGGAAGGGCAGUAAGUUAAUACCUUGCUGUUUUGACGUUACCAACAGAAUAAGCACCGGCUAACUUCG
rnacentral:rRNA from 1 species